GUUUUGGAAGUUAUCUCUGCCAGUUUGAAGAUUUUUAAUCGCGGUCCUCAAACAUGUAUCUUAUAGGAUAUGAAUAGAGCCAAUGGUCAUUGCACGAUGCACGACCUCACUCUUCACAACCUAAGUUAACUAGCACAUACAAGUCUCUGCUUCUGGACUACCAAGUACAAAACCUAGGUCUAAUAUCUCUUUGCACUUUGGGUCACUUUGUUUUUCGGUUUUUCUGAUUCUUUCCAUUCAAUAUGGUUAUGUAUAUGAUAUUAAGUUCAUCGCAGUAAUUACAGCAUAUAUGUUUCCACUGUUAUUGUUAAAA